rnacentral:rRNA from 1 species
GUGACUGCGUACCUUUUGUAUAAUGGGUCAGCGACUUAUAUUCUGUAGCAAGGUUAACCGUAUAGGGGAGCCGCAGGGAAACCGAGUCUUAAUUGGGCGUUAAGUUGCAGGGUAUAGACCCGAAACCCGGUGAUCUAGCCAUGGGCAGGUUGAAGGUUGGGUAACACUAACUGGAGGACCGAACCGACUAAUGUUGAAAAAUUAGCGGAUGACCUGUGGCUGGGGGUGAAAGGCCAAUCAAACCGGGAGAUAGCUGGUUCUCCCCGAAAGCUAUUUAGGUAGCGCCUCGUGAAUUCAUCUCCGGGGGUAGAGCACUGUUUCGGCUAGGGGGCCAUCCCGGCUUACCAACCCGAUGCAAACUGCGAAUACCGGAGAAUGUUAUCACGGGAGACACACGGCGGGUGCUAACGUCCGUCGUGAAGAGGGAAACAACCCAGACCGCCAGCUAAGGUCCCAAAGUCAUGGUUAAGUGGGAAACGAUGUGGGAAGGCCCAGACAGCCAGGAUGUUGGCUUAGAAGCAGCCAUCAUUUAAAGAAAGCGUAAUAGCUCACUGGUCGAGUCGGCCUGCGCGGAAGAUGUAACGGGGCUAAACCAUGCACCGAAGCUGCGGCAGCGA